rnacentral:rRNA from 1 species
GAUGUUGGGUUAAGUCCCGCAACGAGCGCAACCCUUGAUCUUAGUUGCCAGCAUUCAGUUGGGCACUCUAAGGGGACUGCCGGUGACAAACCGGAGGAAGGUGGGGAUGACGUCAAAUCAUCAUGCCCCUUAUGACCUGGGCUACACACGUGCUACAAUGGACAGAACAAAGGGCUGCGAGACCGCAAGGUUUAGCCAAUCCCACAAAUCUGUUCUCAGUUCGGAUCGCAGUCUGCAACUCGACUGCGUGAAGCUGGAAUCGCUAGUAAUC